UGAGCACUCUCCUACAGAGUCUAUAUCAGUAUAGCAGUCUCACCCAAACACUAGCCGAGACGAAGUGAAGGGUAACGUAGAAUUGGUUUUAUUGAGUGAAAUACAGGUUUAUAUAGGAGUAAUCACAACAGGGGGUCAUCAUACAAAACAAUACAAGUCACUCCUGUAUUAUAAACUAAUUUCUUCCCUUCUAUUUUACAUUUUAUACACACAGAAACCCAUAGUACAAGAAAACUCCUAAAACAUAUAUAACACGAUACAGCAGUUUAAAGGGAUCUCUG